rnacentral:rRNA from 1 species
UACGGAGGGUGCAAGCGUUAAUCGGAAUUACUGGGCGUAAAGCGUGCGCAGGCGGUCCGCUAAGACCGAUGUGAAAUCCCCGGGCUUAACCUGGGAACUGCAUUGGUGACUGGCAGGCUAGAGUAUGGCAGAGGGGGGUAGAAUUCCACGUGUAGCAGUGAAAUGCGUAGAGAUGUGGAGGAAUACCGAUGGCGAAGGCAGCCCCCUGGGCCAAUACUGACGCUCAUGCACGAAAGCGUGGGGAGCAAACAGG